rnacentral:rRNA from 1 species
GACGAACGCUGGCGGCGUGCUUAACACAUGCAAGUCGUACGGUAAGGCCCUUUCGGGGGUACACGAGUGGCGAACGGGUGAGUAACACGUGAGUAACCUGCCCACAACUUUGGGAUAACGCUAGAAAACUGGUGCUAAUACUGGAUAUGUGCUCCUGCUGCAUGGGGGGGGUUGGAAAGCUCCGGCGGUGGUGGAUGGACUCGCGGCCUAUCAGCUUGGUGGUGGGGUAGUGGCUUACCAAGGCGGCGACGGGUAGCCGGCCUGAGAGGGUGACAGGCCACAUUGGGACUUAGAUACGGCCCAGACUCCUACGGGAGGCAGCAGUGGGGAAGAUUGCACAAUGGGCGCAAGCCUGAUGCAGCAACGCCGCGUGCGGGAUAACGGCCUUCGGGUUGUAAACCGCUUUCAGCAGGGACGAAGCUUUUUGUGACGGUACCUGCAGAAGAAGCACCGGCUAACUACGUG